GAGAGGCAAGAUGGCUACGGCAGGGGGUGGCUCUGGGGCUGACCCGGGAAGUCGGGGUCUCCUUCGCCUUCUGUCUUUCUGCGUCCUACUAGCAGGUUUGUGCAGGGGAAACUCAGUGGAGAGGAAGAUAUAUAUCCCCUUAAAUAAAACAGCUCCCUGUGUUCGCCUGCUCAACGCCACUCAUCAGAUUGGCUGCCAGUGUGAGUUGAGAUGGAUUCAUGUUUGUGGACAUUGAUAUUUGUCUGUGCCCUAGAUACUAAGUAACAUCCAUGUCCUGCUUAGGAGAUUUGACACUUAUAUUGGACUGUAUGUAGGCAGUUACAGAUAACCGUCUGUCAAGCUAGGCAAGAUAAUUAAUAAGAACUAACAUUUAGUAAAUGCUGCAUACCAAGCUUUUUACAUGUGCAUCUCAUACAACCCCAACCACAACCCCACAAAAUAGGUCUUACUGUUAUUGUCACUUUAUAAAUGAUGAAACUAAAACUUAAAGAAGUUGAGUAACUUUCCCAAGAUCAUACUGGUAAUAAGUGAUGAUGCCAGGAUCU
rnacentral:lncRNA from 10 species